UUGGGGAUGUAGCUCAGUGGUAGACCACUCACCUAAUCAUGUGUGAGGCCCUGGGUUUGAUUCCCAGUGCCAAAA
rnacentral:tRNA from 1 species